rnacentral:rRNA from 1 species
UACGUAGGGGGCUAGCGUUGUCCGGAUUUAUUGGGCGUAAAGAGCGUGUAGGCGGCCAGAUAGGUCUGCUGUGAAAACUCGAGGCUCAACCUCGAGAUGUCGGCGGAAACCGUGUGGCUAGAGUCCGGAAGAGGAGAGUGGAAUUCCUGGUGUAGCGGUGAAAUGCGCAGAUAUCAGGAAGAACACCAAUGGCGAAGGCAGCUCUCUGGGACGGUACUGACGCUGAGACGCGAAAGCGUGGGGAGCGAACAGG